rnacentral:lncRNA from 1 species
AUCUUCUUAUCUUUUUAAUCUCAGCCAUAGAUCAUGAUCGAUCCAACGGCUAAGAUCAGAUACACCCUCUUUUUUUUUUUAAUCCAAAACCUAACCGUAAUCUCCCCAUUUCAUCCAAAGCAGCCUCCCUAUCCUUUCUCUAUCUCCCUCUUCUCAAACCCUACGACAAAAUCAACAACACCACCAACAAGUUGCCGCCCCUCUCCUCUGUCCUCCACAGGCGAACAAUGUCACCAGCCCGCUCACCACCACACCGUCGUUGCCAUCACCGAUGAGAAACUAACCAGCACACCGACGCCGCUCUAACCCGCCAUCGCGACCAGCCCCAACACCAUCAACCGGCGAAACCCCGUCGCUGCUAGAGAAGGUAGCAAGACUAGCAACUGUCGUCUGCUCCCAUCACCAUCCUCCAAAGAGCUCCAUCAACAGCGAUGACCAGUCCGUCCCCCAGUCCAUGCGCCGCCGCCUCAUCAUCUCCGCCACCCACGAAAGUAACAACAAACAACGGUCAACACCUCAACCCCAGCGCCGAUGCCACCUCCUUUCUCCUUCCUCCGGUGAAUCCAUUGCCACUGCCCCAGUGCCCUCUCUUCGAUCAGCAACUCAAUAUCGUUACUGACCCGUCUUCGUCGAAAUUGAUGGGUUUUUAAGAACCUCUCACCGAUUUGAUUUCAUUUUGUAUUUAAUUCAUAUGAUUUUAAUGAUCUUCGAUUGGGAUUUUUCUUUCACUUUUUCAUAAUUCGUGUUUACUGACUUGAUUAGAGCGACAUAGGUUAGAAGCCUAAACUUUGUUUACUAAAAUAUUUGUUCCGAUUUGUUGCUUGACUGUUCGGAUCACUGGGUUAUGCUAUCCCUUGAACAUAAUGCACUGUUGCGAUUAAUUAGUAUUUUAAUUUAAUUAGUUGUUAAUUAUUUGAUUAUGUAGUGCUGUGAUUAAUUAGUAUUUUAAUUUAAUUAACUGUUAAUUAUUUACUUAUUCGAGUAGAUUUUGUUUUGACUAAUUUACUCCAUUAUAUUUACAAAUUUUUUGAUCCCCCACCCUUAAUUAGGUUAAGUAUGAUUGAUUCUGAUUGAUAUUUCAUUCCUCUUUAGUUUAAAUUAUGGUUUCUAAUUAUGGUAAAUUAUGAUUUGAUUGAUAUUUUUCUUUCCCUUUAUUUAAUUUGACUGACUAUAUUAAUAAAUAUGGUAUUUAUAUUUAAGGCAAUUUUGUUGAAUGAUUACAUCACAUAUUAUGUUGAUUGAUACUUCUUUUUCUUUUAUUUGUUUAGACUGAUUUUUAAAUUUUUUGAUUGAUACAAUUGUGAUUGAUUGAUUAUAUAACAUGUCCCCUUUCCCUUUUUAUGACUUGGCCACAGUAUCCCUUGCAUUAUAUAAAUAACCUUUCUCUUUUCUAAAAGGGGACAACUUACACUCUCUAAUAUUUACACUCUCCCUACUCUCCCACUCUGCCUAUUCUUUGUGAUAAACAUUCUUUGUGAUAAACAAGAACUUACAACUCACAUGAUCACAAGAAAGCUUUAAGCGAACAAGAAACAAUAUGACUUUAUUACUCUUUGUACUCACUGUUGGAGCAUUGAUUUCGACCUUCCUGCGAUCCUGUGCUGCUUGGGUAUUCUUAUUAUUAUUACUUGUUGCUAUCUUUAACCAGUAAGUUUUCUGACGACGUAAUUUUAAUACCUUAUAUGAUGAUGCUAGAAAACAUGUCUUUAGGAAUUACAUGGACUUUUGUGUGUUGUAUCAUUGUUGUGUCAUUUUGUAUUCGUAAUUAUAUCAUGAUAUUUUUGUUAGCCUCUUUGUUUUUGCCAUGCUAUGCCACUAUGUUUAACAAGUUCGGGGGAAUUGAAGAGUUGAUCGAGGAUUUGAGAGGGAUUAUGUUUUUCCCUUUUAGUUUAGUUGAUUCUUCUUUUUAUUGGUGUGUAAUAUUGCAUAAACGCUACACUGAUGUAAUAAUAAAUUGAGGACUGCUUGAGGGGCGGGGAUUUAUGUACUUUACGUGCUACAUGAAUUACUUAGGCCAACGUAAUUUAGGAUUUACUAAUUUACUUGUUCGCCGCCUAGAAAGCAUGUAUUAGGAUUAACAACUAGCUUUAAAAUUAGAAUCAACUUUUCGAUUGUAACACUUUAUUUUUGGACAUCGUAAAUAAUAAUUUUUGAUACCUUACGUGUGAUUACUUUUGGUGACAUAAAAACUAAUCUUGAUAUUAAAGCAAUCCUUUGCCUAUUUUCUCCAUGACCUUUUUUUUUUUACAAAUUUUCAUCAUACUUGUGAAGUUUCAGCUUUAACACUAUUUUUAGGCAAAUAAAAAAGGGUCAUUUUGCUUUAGCACUUUAAAACAAAUUUUCAGCAAAAAAAAAUUAAUUUUUUUUUUUUCAUUUUAAGUAGUUUUUCAGCAACCUAAAUUGAUGACAGUCUUUUAAUAUAAACUUUCAACAAUACAAGAAUCGUCUUUAACAUUAAACACAAUGUCCCACAUUUUUGAAUUAAGCACAACCUGCGACUUCUUUUAAGAAUUCUCAGGAAUUUUAGUAGUAUAUUUUCAGCAAUCAUAAUUACAAAUCUGAUUAACUAUUUUAAUACAGUAAUUCUUAACGCCUUUUAUUUACAAUUUGAUUAAUUAUCUUUCGCAUAAUAAAUUAAUGGGUAUCAUUUCCAACAUAUUUACUCAAAUUUGACAUACUUUAUUUUAAUAACUUUACAAUAUAUUUUUUUAACGGUUUAACAAUCACUUUCUAUCAAUAAAUAGUUACUUUCCACUCAGACAUGAUGUAACUAUCUUUUACACAAUAAAUUAAUGUUCAUAUUCUAUCACGUUGCUUGACAUAUCUUUUUUAUGAAUUCUUACCACAUUGUUUACAUGUUACUUUUUAACAAUUGUUAAACACUUAGAUAUUAUGUCUAUAGGUUAAUGAAAUCAAAACAAUUAAUUAUUUGUCUUUGCAUGCUUACCACAUUAAUCAACUCUUUAAUAACCAAGAGGCUAACAUGAGAUAUUACUUGCUACUUGAUAUCCUUCGUGUUUCAUGCUCUUCGAGUCCUAUGCAACAUAACUUUCUUUUCGUCUAGAACAAAAAUCCAAAAUAGUAAAGUCCAAUGCCUCUUAGACGAUAGGUGGGACGUUAAGUAUUACUAAAACGUUAGUUUUACUCUUGUCAUAAAACACCCUUAGACUUGACAUCCAGCCUAGGUGGGACGGGUAGUCAUUCGAAAGUGAUGAUCCCAACGGAUAUUAAUGGCGAGGCUAAUGACAUUAUUUCUUGUCUAAGGGUUCGGUCCUUGGGUCGAAUGAUGAUUAAACAAGUUGAGUUUCUGAUCAAAAUAAAACCAAAACAUUUCUUUGUUUGAUUUAGACGAUGUCUUUAUUUACUUUACAUACAUAUUAUUUGGGGUAAUUAAUUUAUUAUAGAAGCAGUCCGCUUUUGUUGCAAAUUAUGGCAUUUCUUUCUCCCCGCUUAUCUUAUUUACAUGUUUCAUUUAUUCACUUAGAUAAUCAACAAUUAGAAAUAACAAAAUGACAUGUGUUUUGUUUAUUAAUUACUUCUCAAUUAGUUAAAUAUUAAAUUAAUGAUAAAAUAGGAAACUUUAUUUGAUCACGUAGAAUCCCCAUGUAAAGUAUGAAUUCAGCCGGGAACCACCAUUGUGGACCUCGAAAGGUGCCUAACACCUUCCUUUUGAGGUAAUUUGAACCCUUACCCGAACUCUGGUGAACUAAGAAUAAACAACAAAAUAGGUUUGUAGUAGCCUAGACCGGUGCCCUAACGCACCUUAAUACAUUAGGUAGAGACUCGUCAUACCCUUUCAACGCAUCUCAAAAAGAGUUUGUCACGUCGAAUCCCGCCUUCCGCGAGGAAAACGGGGCACGACAGGUAUUGCCAAGACUCCAUUGGACGUGAGCUUUGCACUUCAAAAGAAUAAAAGUGAAAUUGACUCACAGUUGGAGUAUGCAACAGUAUUGAGAUGUUUAAUGUAUAUAAUGAAUUGUACAUGACCAGACAUAGCAUGUGCUACUAGUAAGUUGAGUCGGUAUACGAGUAAUCCCAAUAAAACUCAUUGAAUGACAAUGAAAAGAGUUUUGGGGUAUCUUAAAUACACUCAAGACUAUGCUUUGCAUUAUAAUAAAUAUUCCGCGGUACUUGAGGAUAUAGUAAUGCAAAUUGUAGCACCGUAUCGAAUGAAAUAAAACCCAUGAGUGGAUAUGUAUUUACUAUUGGUAGAGGAUCAAUCUCUUGAAAAUCAUCUAAAAAGACAUGUAUUGCUUGCUCUAUAAUGAAAUCUAAAUUUAUCGUAUUAGAUAAAACCGGUGAAGAAGCAGAAUGGCUUCGAAAUUUCUUGGAAGAUAUUCCUUAUUGGCCCAAACCAUUGGCACCAGUAUGUAUACACUGUGAUAGUCAAGAGGCAAUAGGUAGGGCAGGGAGCAUGAUGUACAACGGUAAAUCUCGUCACAUAAGAUAGAGACAUAAUACCGUUAGAGAACUUCUCUCUAGUGGAAUUAUCACUGUUGACUAUGUGAAGUCGAAGAAUAAUGUGUCAGAUCCACUUACAAAAGACCUAUCUAGAGAGGAAGUUGAGAGAACAUCCAAGGGAGUGGGUUUAUGGCCUAGGACAAGUCAGCAUGAUGGUAACUCUACCUAGAAGAUUGUAGAUCCCAAGAGCUAGGUUCAAAGAGAUCAAACAAAGUUGCACCUUACAGUUUCAAUAUUGUCAAUAUAUCCAAUCCAUUCUCAUGAUGUAGACAAUAUUUAGUAAACAAGGAUAAGACUUAUGGUGAGAAAUUUUUUAAUGAUUAUCUAAAUUUGACAGAUUUGACCAAAUAGUUUAAUCUAUAGGAUUAAACAUUUAGAAAUCACCUAUGUGAUGAAGAAGUGGAAGUCACUUCAAGGAGAAUAUUAGUAAAGACCUAUUUUCUAAGGUCUCAUGAGACCGGGAUGUGUUCAUAGAUGAAAUAAACAAAAUCGUGAGAACUAUAAAAGGUAAAAGGUUGGUUGUAUGAUACGUGUUGUCUAGGUGUACAUUAAAGCUCAACGGUUCAAAGAUAUCAAAUCUACUGAUUGACCGAGUGCAUCCGAUGCAUGUUCACUACGGAAAUUUCAAAGAGAAAUCCACUUAUCCAGAUGCAAUCAGUGUUUGCUUGAUGAUCACAUACUUGUCCGUACAAUUUUACAAAGAAUAACCAUUCCCCAUUCAUGUGUCGGAUUGUUGGGUUAAAUUGGUGUGAAUGGGAAAUAGAGGGACACAACUCUUUAAAAAAAAGACACACUAUUUCAGAAAAGGGGUGACUGUUCGAUUGGAUGUGACUGUUCAAAAAAGACACGGUGUUUCGAAAUGGAUACACAUGACUGUUCCGAAAUGAUACACCCUUCCAUGAACCAUUGUUUCCUUUAUGAAGGGCAAUUUGAUGUCUAUAAAUACCUGAACUUUUUUCCUCAGGUAGUAUGAAAAAUUUCUGCUUUAAAAAACACUUUUCUACUUCUAAAAACUCUUUGUAAUCAUCUGCCAUUGAGUAUGUUCGAAGAAUCAGAAGGUUUGAGGUACCGCUACAUUCUGAUUGUGAGCCAUUUUAUCCUGAAAAAAAAAAUUCACAACCUCGGGUAUUUUAGAAAAAUUAAUUCCUUAAGGACACUCCGUGAAUUCGGAGGACUUGAUUCUGUUUUCUACUUCAUCUUGUUUCUUUUAAAUUACAUACUUCUUUGAUAGUUCUUAAUGAACUUGUGUUGAAGGUAUUGAAAACUUCAUUAGUGUUCUUGAAACUGCCUUGAACAAAAGUUAAAGCAUUUAUGCAAACAUACAGAUUGUGUACCCGAAAACAACAACCACUACAUAUUUCUUGUCCCAAAAGAUUUUAUGAACGGUCCAUGAAACAUUAUUGGUUUUGACAAUCCAGAUAGAACAUGAUUUGAUGUAGUAUGCAUCCAGUGUGCUUUAUUUUUAUUGUACUUUCUUCUAAACAUCCCUAUCGAUCAUUAUCAUAUUUACAUAUUAAAUUAUAUUUUUAUCUAAUAAUAUAUACUAAUAAAAAGUUUAAUAGAACCGAUUAAAAGCCAUAAAAAAUUGAGGGUAGAGUAUGUGAGUCAUCCAUCCCCGUUCUUUAGUUUAUCCAACCUCAACAAAUGAUAAAGAAAAUAAGAUAAUUUUGUUUUUAUAUUUUUCUUAAUUUAUUAUUUUGAAUGGCAAUGAAAAUAAAGAUAUAUGUAUUUACCUUUAUAACAUAGGACUUUAUUAUUAAAAAAAGAAUCAUCACAAGAUAUUAUCCUACAAAGACAUUUAAAUUUGUAGGUUGUUGCCCUCCCCUUUAUAUGAAAGAAAAUCAACUCAUAUCAAAGUUCUUCAACUAAAAAACAAUGUAAUUUAAGAAGCAAUUAACUCUUUUUUUUUUUGAAACUGGUAAAUGUCGCAAUCAACUUAAUUUGUUAUGGUAUUCAGACCUCUAUAUAUCCUGAUAUAUACUGUUAUUAAAAAGCUGGGGUAAAUGCACUUUAAAGAGAGCAAUUAUUUUCCCAAUUUGGACAAUAGAUUACAAACUCUUUCAUUAUUGGACAAUAGAAUAAAGGAGUUGACAACCUCUAAAAAGAGAUAGGAUUAGCCUUCAAUAUAGAGUUUGUAGUUGAUGCCCGCUCAAGCCCCAGGACUCGCCCCCUCCCCCCUCCCCAAGCUCGGGACUAUGAUCGAGCCCAGAACCUGCCCCCUCCACUUCCCAGGACCACGCCCGAGCCUACGAACCAUCCUUUCUCCUCAGGCUUAGGGCCACGACCGAGCCCAGGACCCCCUUCUCUCUUCCCAAGCUCGAGACCAUACCCGAGCCCAGGAUCCCCCUCUCUCCUAGGCUUGAGAAUAGGACUUCUUUCCUUCCCAAGCUCAGGACCACGCCCGAGCCGACCAUGCCUCUGCUUUUCCCUCAUAGGCUCAGGACCACGCCCGAGUUUAAGACCCGGCUCCCACCCCCGCCCGCCUACCAGGAUCAGGACCACGUUCGAGUCCAUGACUCGGCCCGCUCCCACCUAUUAUUUUUGUAUUUUUUGAUGAAAUUUUGAUAUAUAGUUCUUCUUGGAAUGACCACUUGACACACUUAACCUUGACUUUUGAUAUUUUGAAGACACACUGUUUGUUUGUCAAGUUGAGCAAGUGCUCUUUUGAAAAAACUGAAGUGGAUUAUCUAGGAUAUGUCAUCACCCAACAAGGAGAUCAUGUUGAUUUUGAUAAAAUUAAAGUGAUGUUGGAGUGGCCUGUUCUUAAAACUAUUAAAGAGCUUAGAGGUUUUUUGGGGCUGACUGGUUAUUAUAGAAGAUUUGUGAAAGGCUAUGGCAAGAUAGCUAAGUCUUUUGCUGUCUUAUUGAAGAAACACUUGCAUGAUAGUGCCAUAGGAGGACACUAAGGUAUAUAUGUUACACUCUAUAGAGUGAGUCAGUAAAAAUUGAAGAAAGAUGUUUAUGAAUAUGUGGGGAAGUGUGAUAUGUGUAACGAUGUAAAGGAGAAAAUGUCAAAGUUCCUGGAUUGCUAUAGCCCCUGCCAGUACCAGAAAAAGUUUGACAGGAAAUCAGCUUGGACUUCAUUGAGGGACUGCCAAAGGCUUACAAUAAAUCAGUGAUCUUGGUUGUUGUGGACCGACUAAGCAAAUAUGCUCACUUUACGAGCUUGACCCAUCCUUAUACAACUACCUCUGUUGCUCAGUUAUUUUUGGGUAACAUUUAUAGGUUGCAUGGAUUACCACAAACUAUAGUCAGUGACAGAGAUGUGUAUUUUCUAAGCAAAUUCUGGCAAGCCUUAUUUACAGCUCAAGGUGUGCAACUUCUUCAUUCCACAACCUAUCGCCCACAAUCAGAUGGCCAUACUGAAGCUGUGAACAAGUGCAUGGAGGGAUAUCUUAGGUGUAUGUGUUGUGACAGACCUAAAGAAUGGUUCAAGUGGCUACCCUUGGCUAAAUAGUGGUAUAAUACCUCCUUCCACGCUGCCAUCAAGAUGACUCCUUUUGAGGUAGUUUAUAGUCAGAACCCCCCCACUCAUUUACCAUAUCUAGUUCAUGAUUCUAUGGUUGACAUGGUUGAUAGAAGCCUUCAAGCUAGGGAAUGUACUAUCUGGCUCUUGAAGCACCAUUUGUUGUUGGCCUAAUCUCGGAUGAAAGCUCAUGCUGACAAGCAGAGAUCUCCUCGAGUAUUUGAAGUUGGAGAUAAAGUGUUUGUUAAACUGCAACCUUACAGGCAGGCAUCAUUGAGGGGUCAUGCAUCUCACAAGCUAAAUCCCAAGUAUUUUGGACCUUUUGUUAUCCUCAUAAGGGUGGGCACCGUAGCCUACCAACUACAGCUUCCUCCCCAAGCCAAGAUCCAUAAUGCUUUUCUGUUCCAACAAAAAAAAUUCAUUAGGGACAAACCUGUUCACCUUGCUCUGCCUAUUACUCUCUCCUCCCAUGGCUAUGUUAUUUUGGUUCCUGAGGCUGUGGUAGACAUAAGAUCUAUUUCCAAAGGUGGUCGGCCGGUGACUCAAUAUUGGGUCAAAUGGUUCAACUGUUCUUCUGAGGAUAGCACAUGGAUGGAUGCCCAUUCUUUACUUCAGCAGUUUCCUCAGUUCAGUCUUUGAGGUCAAGGAAUUCUGUAGGGGAGGGUAUUGUUAUGUACUAAUUUAGAAGAGAGGGCAUUUUAGUCAUUUCAAAAGUCGGUUAGGUAUUUAAUAUCUGUUAAGAUGUGGUUAGGAUUCAGUUAGGAGCUACCGCUGGUAGCUCAUUGGGGAUUACUCUAUAACUACAAGAAUUACAAUGUAAAUGAGCAUUUAAUUCAGAUAUUCAAGAUACUUCUCUCUCAAUUGAUUCUCUCUUAAUCUCGGUUUUAUUGUUCAGCGAUCAUUCUCUCACUUUGUUGCUUAGGUGACAAAAUUGUGCUUGUCAAUUAGCACGUUACAAUAACACUUGGAAUUUUGCUUCUCUCCCUUUUGUCCUCCCCGAGUCCAUUACAAGUCUAAUAGUGGCAACAUACUUCCCAUACACACAAAUACUUAUGAAUGUGUCAAAUGGAGUUUUACUACCACGGGUAGUUUCAGAGUACGUACUUGCUACAAUAAUAUAAUCACGGGCAGCAUAGAGUCUAUGCCUCCAUUGGGUUUUUUACGUGGAUUAGGAAGCUAAAUACACCCCCCCCCCCCCCCCCCCCAAAAAAAAAAAAAAUUAAAAAAAACAAGAAAAUUAAGCACUCUAUGUGGUUACUAGUGCAUAAUCGGCUUCCAACAUCUGCAUACUUAAACCAUAUAUCGUGCCUAGAAUCACCUAACUACAAGUUAUGCCAGCAUGAAGUCUUCCAAAUAAUAUCACAUUUUUCCAUUCAAUGUCCUACUCUUACUCAGUUUUGGAAAAAACUCAACACUAGCAUAGGUUGUUCACUACAACUACCACCACGAGAUGUGGACACACCCUAAAACACUUGGCUAAAAAAUAUUCUUCAAAAUCAUCAUGCGACCUCUAUUCCCAUCGUACUGUUUAAGGUCCUAGUACCUUAUUGUCUUUGGGUCAUAAGGACCCAACGUAACAAACAUCUAUUUGAGGGACAAAUUUGUGCUCCAUUUGCAGCUCUUGCUAUAAACCUCGCAACACAAUAUUGGUACUUUGCACAAGACUCAAAAACCAAACACAACCCCUUCACCCUAUACGUUAUAUGGAACCCUCCUAAAAAUAAUUGCUUAAUGUUAAACACUGAUGCCACGUUGUCACUAAGUUCAAAUACUGGGGGUAUAGGAGGAGUUUUUCGAAAUUGUAUGGGGGAGUAUGGUUAAUGGGUUACACUGCACCCACAAUUACGCAAGAUAUUCUUCAUCUUGAACUCUUGGCUUUAUUUAAAGGACUGCAACUUGCAAUGGAACACAACCUAAAGCAUCUGGAAAUAAAUGUGGACGCUGAGCAGCUGAUUACUUUGCUUAACAGUAUUGAUACUAAAGCUAAGAGCUAUAUCCUACUAUUUGAUUGCAGGUUCCUCUUCCAACAGCUGAGUAAUUCGACACUUAUCCAUAUCUACAGAGAGCAGAAUCGAUUGGUAGAUAGUCUAGCAAGAAGAGUCAUCUCCACUGCACACCCAUCCAUUAUAGCUACUACCUCGGCCACGACUACUAUUACUUUUGGUUGCCUCCUCAGGACUUGUUAGAUAUUUUGCAUGCAGACCGAAGAGGAGACAUCGUUAUGUGUGAAGACCUUAGGAGUCUUGCCGCAAAGUACAUCUGUAAAUAUACCUACUACUA